CCCUUAGAUGUUCUGGGCCGCGCGCGCGCUACACUGAUGCAUUCAACGAGUCCAACCUUGACCGAGAGGUCCGGGUAAUCUUUGAAACUGCAUCGUGAUGGGGCUAGAUUAUUGCAAUUAUUAAUCUUCAACGAGGAAUGCCUAGUAAGCGUGAUUCAUCAAAUCGCGUUGAUUACGUCCCUGCCCUUUGUACACACCGCCCGUCGCUCCUACCGAUUGAGUGUGUUGGUGAGGAGUUUGGAUUGGCCUCGGAAGGUGGUUCGCCACCGUCCGUAGCUGAGAAGUUCUCCAAACCGCCCCACUUAGAGGAAGGAGAAGUCGUAACA
rnacentral:rRNA from 1 species